rnacentral:rRNA from 1 species
CCUACGGGAGGCAGCAGUGGGGAAUAUUGGACAAUGGGCGAAAGCCUGAUCCAGCAAUGCCGCGUGAGUGAUGAAGGCCUUCGGGUCGUAAAGCUCUUUUACCAGGGAUGAUAAUGACAGUACCUGGAGAAUAAGCUCCGGCUAACUCCGUGCCAGCAGCCGCGGUAAUACGGAGGGAGCUAGCGUUGUUCGGAAUUACUGGGCGUAAAGAGUACGUAGGCGGUUAUUCAAGUCAGAGGUGAAAGCCCGGGGCUCAACCCCGGAACUGCCUUUGAAACUAGAUAACUAGAGUCUUGGAGAGGUUAGUGGAAUUCCGAGUGUAGAGGUGAAAUUCGUAGAUAUUCGGAAGAACACCAGUGGCGAAGGCGACUAACUGGACAAGUACUGACGCUGAGGUACGAAAGCGUGGGGAGCAAACAGGAUUAGAUACCCUGGUAGUCCACGCCGUAAACGAUGAUAACUAGUUGUUCGGUCACUUGGUGACUGAGUGACGCAGCUAACGCAUUAAGUUAUCCGCCUGGGGAGUACGGUCGCAAGAUUAAAACUUAAAUGAAUUGACGG